CCAGAUCAAACUGAGUGUGGAGUAUUUUGCUUUAACACUUUAGGAGUGGCAAACAAUUUAUAACUGGCAGGGUUUGAGGACAACCGUGUUGAAAAACCAAAAGAUAAUGCUAAGACAGGUCUUAACCAAUGUGGAUACUUUGACUAAUUAACUUUGUUAAUUUAGGAGGAGGUCGUUCCUGCACGCCAUCCAUCUCCAGCGUUCGAAGGUUCUGUUAGCAGUGCUGUUACUUGGUGCUUCAGAGAUAUGGUGACUGGCCGAGCGCAAAGGAGCCAUGCUAGGAAAACUAAGAGCACAUCUUCAUAAAGUCCAGGAUAAAGUAAGGUGAGAAAACUAAGAUGUAAAGUGUACCAAGUUAAUAACUUCCCUAUGAAGAAACAUUCACACGUCUUACUUCCUGUCCUAGCUCCAGAGCCUGAAAAGGUGAACCCACUGGGGCUGGCUGGGGGAAAAGAGGAAGUUUUGUUCCAGAAGGAACUGUCUGAGGGAUCACUUGUAUGCGUA